rnacentral:rRNA from 1 species
UGGGCGCAAGCCUGAUCCAGCAAUGCCGCGUGAGUGAAGAAGGCCUUAGGGUUGUAAAGCUCUUUCGCCCGCGACGAUGAUGACGGUAGCGGGAGAAGAAGCCCCGGCUAAUCCGUGCCAGCAGCCGCGGUAAUCGGAAGGGGCGAGCGUUGUUCGGAAUCACUGGGCGUAAAGCGCGCGUAGGCGGCCAUGCAAGUGCGGCGUGAAAGUCCUGGGCUCAACCUGGGGACGGCGCUGCGGACUGUUUGGCUGGAGUCCGGAAGAGGGUGGUGGAAUUCCGAGUGUAGAGGUGAAAUUCGUAGAUAUUCGGAGGAACACCGGUGGCGAAGGCGGCCACCUGGUCUGGCACUGACGCUCAAGCGCGAAAGCGUGGGGAGCAAACAGGAUUAGAUACCCUGGUAGUCCACGCCGUAAACGAUGGGUGCUAGAUGUCGGGGGGCUUGCCCUUCGGUGUCGGAGCUAACGCGUUAAGCACCCCGCCUGGGGACUACGGCCGCAAGGCUA